rnacentral:Y_RNA from 1 species
GGCUGGUUCAAAGGUAGUGAGUUACCUCAAUUGAUUGUUCACAGUCAGGUACAGAUUGAACUCCUCGUUCUAUUCCAUCCGCCCUUCUCACUACUGCACUUGACCAGUCAAAA